GCACCGGCUAACUACGUGCCAGCAGCCGCGGUAAUACGUAGGGUGCAAGCGUUAUCCGGAAUUAUUGGGCGUAAAGGGCUCGUAGGCGGUUCGUCGCGUCCGGUGUGAAAGUCCAUCGCUUAACGGUGGAUCCGCGCCGGGUACGGGCGGGCUUGAGUGCGGUAGGGGAGACUGGAAUUCCCGGUGUAACGGUGGAAUGUGUAGAUAUCGGGAAGAACACCAAUGGCGAAGGCAGGUCUCUGGGCCGUUACUGACGCUGAGGAGCGAAAGCGUGGGGAGCGAACAGGAUUAGAUACCCUGGUAGUCCACGCCGUAAACGUUGGGAACUAGGUGUGGGUCUCAUUCCACGAGAUCCGUGUCGCAGCUAACGCAUUAAGUUCCCCGCCUGGGGAGUACGGCCGCAAGGCUAAAACUCAAAGGAAUUGACGGGGGCCCGCACAAGCGGCGGAGCAUGCGGAUUAAUUCGAUGCAACGCGAAGAACCUUACCUGGGCUUGACAUGUUCCCGACAGCCGUAGAGAUAUGGCCUCCCUUCGGGGCGGGUUCACAGGUGGUGCAUGGUCGUCGUCAGCUCGUGUCGUGAGAUGUUGGGUUAAGUCCCGCAACGAGCGCAACCCUCGCCCUGUGUUGCCAGCACGUCGUGGUGGGAACUCACGGGGGACCGCCGGGGUCAACUCGGAGGAAGGUGGGGAUGACGUCAGAUCAUCAUGCCCCUUACGUCCAGGGCUUCACGCAUGCUACAAUGGCCGGUACAACGGGAUGCGACACGGCGACGUGGAGCGGAUCCCUGAAAACCGGUCUCAGUUCGGAUUGGAGUCUGCAACCCGACUCCAUGAAGGCGGAGUCGCUAGUAAUCGCGGAUCAGCAACGCCGCGGUGAAUGCGUUCCCGGGCCUUGUACACACCGCCCGUCAAGUCAUGAAAGUGGGCAGCACCCGAAGCCGGUGGCCUAACCCCUUGUGGGAUGGAGCCGUCUAAGGUGAGGCUCGUGAUUGGGACUAAGUCGUAACAAGGUAGCCGUACCGGAAGGUGCGGCUG
rnacentral:rRNA from 1 species